rnacentral:rRNA from 1 species
UGACAGUACUCCUACGGGGAGGCAGCAGUGGGGGAAUAGUUGCACAAUGGGCGCAAGCCUGAUGCAGCCAUGCCGCGUGUGUGAAGAAGGCCUUCGGGUUGUUAAAGCACUUUCAGUCGUGAGGAAGGUAGUGUAGUUAAUAGCUGCAUUAUUUGACGUUAGCGACAGAAGAAGCACCGGCUAACUCCGUGCCAGCAGCCGCGGUAAUACGGAGGGUGCGAGCGUUAAUCGGAAUUACUGGGCGUAAAGCGCAUGCAGGUGGUUUGUUAAGUUCAGAUGUGAAAGCCCGGGGCGUCAACCUCGGAAUAGCAUUUGAAACUAGGCAGACUAGAGUACUGUAGAGGGGGGUAGGAAUUUCAGGUGUAGCGGUGAAAUGCGUAGAGAUCUGAAGGAAUACCGGUGGCGAAGGCGGCCCCCUGGACAGAUACUGACACUCAGAUGCGAAAGCGUGGGGAGCAAACAGGAUUAGAUACCCUGGUAG